GAUGAACGCUGGCGGCGUGCCUAAUACAUGCAAGUCGAGCGAACAGACGAGGAGCUUGCUCCUCUGACGUUAGCGGCGGACGGGUGAGUAACACGUGGAUAACCUACCUAUAAGACUGGGAUAACUUCGGGAAACCGGAGCUAAUACCGGAUAAUAUAUUGAACCGCAUGGUUCAAUAGUGAAAGACGGUUUUGCUGUCACUUAUAGAUGGAUCCGCGCCGCCUUAGCUAGUUGGUAAGGUAACGGCUUACCAAGGCAACGAUGCGUAGCCGACCUGAGAGGAGGAUAGGCCACACUGGAACGGAGACACGGUCCAGACUACUACGGGAGGCAGAAGUGGGGAAUAUUGGGGAAUGGGCGCAAGCCUGAUCCAGCGAUACCGCGUGGGUGAAGAAGGCCUUCGGGUUGUAAAGCCCUUUUGUUGGGAAAGAAAAGCAGCCGGUUAAUACCCAGCUGUUCCGACGGUACCCAAUGAAUAAGGACCGGCUCACUUCGUG
rnacentral:rRNA from 1 species